AUUGAACGCUGGCGGCAUGCCUUACACAUGCAAGUCGAACGGCAGCGGACCUUCGGGUGCCGGCGAGUGGCGAACGGGUGAGUAAAGUAUCGGAACGUACCUUUCAGUGGGGGAUAACGUAGCGAAAGUUACGCUAAUACCGCAUAUUCUGUGAGCAGGAAAGCAGGGGAUCGCAAGACCUUGCGCUGAUUGAGCGGCCGAUAUCAGAUUAGCUAGUUGGUGAGGUAAAGGCUCACCAAGGCGACGAUCUGUAGCGGGUCUGAGAGGAGGAUCCGGCACACUGGAACUGAGACACGGUCCAGACUCCUACGGGAGGUAGCAGUGGGGAAUUUUGGACAAUGGGCGCAAGCCUGAUCCAGCCAUGCCGCGUGAGUGAAGAAGGCCUUCGGGUUGUAAAGCUCUUUCGGCCGGGAAGAAAUCGUAUGGGUUAAUACCCUGUGCGGAUGACGGUACCGGCAUAAGAAGCACCGGCUAACUACGUGCCAGCCGCCGCGGUAA
rnacentral:rRNA from 1 species